GGAUAUAGCUCAGUGGUAUAGCCUUGCUUAGCAUGCUCAAGGGCCUGGGUUCAAUCCCCAGAUCCA
rnacentral:tRNA from 1 species